rnacentral:rRNA from 1 species
UACGUAGGUGGCAAGCGUUGUCCGGAGUUAUUGGGCGUAAAGCGCGCGCAGGCGGUGCGGUAAGUCUCUGGGGAAAGCGCUCGGCUUAACUGGGCGAGGGCCGGGGAGACUGCCACGCUGGAGGGGAGCAGAGGCGAGUGGAAUUCCGGGUGUAGUGGUGAAAUGCGUAGAGAUCCGGAGGAACACCGACGGCGCAGGCAGCGUCCUGGCCGCUUGCUGACACUGAGGCACGAAAGCUGGGGGAGCAAACAGG